rnacentral:rRNA from 1 species
UACGUAGGUGGCAAGCGUUGUCCGGAUUUAUUGGGUUUAAAGGGUGCGUAGGCGGUUGGGUAAGUCUGUCGUGAAAUCUCCGAGCCCAACUCGGAAACUGCGUCGGAUACUAUUCAACUCGAGGAAUGGAGGGGAGACUGGAAUUCUCGGUGUAGCAGUGAAAUGCGUAGAUAUCGAGAGGAACACCAGUGGCGAAGGCGAGUCUCUGGACAUUUCCUGACGCUGAGGCACGAAAGCCAGGGGAGCAAACGGG